ensembl:lncRNA novel transcript
CCACGAGCCUCUAACAGCCCCGCCGGGGCCCUCGCGUGCCAGACUAUGUGCCCCGAGAGCACCUUGUGCUGGGGGAAGAGGCGGCUGGCGGUGCAGGAAAUCCUGGCGGCGCAGGAAAUUCCGGCGGCGCGGCGAGGGGUGGGGGGAGGCAGGCGCAGGAGGCGGGCGAAGAGGAGGGCGCAGAGUAGCAUAAGCCGCUCGGCCUAGCGGCCGCUGGCUCCACAAAGGCCUCCCCAAGAGCCGGCCUCCCACCUGCCCGGCUGCCGGGGUCCUGGGGCUCCGCCGCCCCCGCCCCGCGGACGGCCAGCCUCCUGCCCCUGCAGUGCCUGCAGCAGAGCAGCUUGGGGCCCAGCGUGGUGGUGCCCAGGUCCGCCUCAGCAAGGUGCCCGCGCCCACCUUCCAACCCAAAAGGCCGGCGCGGAAGGGCAGCAUAAAGGCAGCGGCCACCUGCGGAUACCCAAGUGGCCUUACAAGGUGGCCAAGGAGGAGAAACGGGAGGCGGAGGAGGCCGAGAAGAGGCGCCAGGCCAAGGUGCAGGAGAAGCGCCCGCCGCCCUGGAAGAAGAGGACGUGAAAAAUGGACAUUUCUGAUACUGCCCAGCCACUACGGCACCACAACCCAUGCUCAUAGUCUCCAGGGAUGUGUAGAACGGCAAUGGCAGGACAGCAAACAACUGGCGAUUUCCCCAGGUCCCACGCUCUUGCGGAAACCGGUCACUCCCAGUCUGACGUUGGAGCAUGUGAACUAAGAGUGACAUUUUUUUCUACUUGCUUCUGUGAAUAAAGUGUUCUACAGUCAGCCAGCACUAAACACCAGAAAGGAGGAGGGAACAGCGUGGAGCAAUUCAUCUGGAAUUACCUCGGUGUGCAGAGGCUGUCCCUUGGCUCCACUUGGGAUAAACAUUGUGAAACAUCGUGGGCCUCUUUCUUCUCAAGCUCCUCCUGACAGCCUCCUGGCAACACUAGAGGCCUCAAGACUAUGGAGAUCAGAAUUGCAAUGGCUUUGUCAUCUCAGCAUUGACCACUCCUGAGACCCAAGGUUCCUCCUGGGAGCAGGAGACAAGGAGUUUGUGAUGUUGGAUGGAAAAUAGGAUAUAUGAAUGCAGAAGGGCUGUGCUGGACCCCUCUUUUCGCUUCUCUCCCUGCUGUCAGCAGUGUCUCUGGCAUGGAGGCGAAUCUGUUGUGGGUGAAACAGAAGCCCCUGGGGUAGGACCAGACCCCAGGCCUGAAAAGGAUGCAAAGCCUGCUGUUUCAGGCUGUCAGGAAGAAUCGUGGGUACCGAGUGAUUAUGAUGAAAUGCAACCCAGAGAGGAAAUGAAUGGGCCCUCACUAAGAAGUGGGUCUGACAUGUCUCUGGCAGCCCACCGGCAAGAGCACGACAUGCCCUGCAGCCCCACCAUCCACACUACAUGAUGUGGGAGGGCUGUCUGUUCAUUCUUACACUGGGGACCCAAGCCUGCUCUGAGGAGUGAGUCACAGCCCUGACGUGCGCCUUGCAUUACUGUUUCCUGAGAUGUGCCCGGAGACUCAAGCUUGCUCAUUUCUGUCCUGACACAGCUCACUGUUCCUUAGGUGGUCAUAGUCCUCCCGUGCUGUGUCAGCUCCUACAUAGCAUUAGUCUUUCACGUGAUAAAGUGCAAGCACUUUUCCAUUUUACAGUAUUUGGGGAAAUUCUAACACACUCCCCAGGGAUUUGUGCAUGUCCUUCUGCCUCCCCGGUGGGUCAUUCUGUGGAUUCCGCACCUGGCAGUCGGUCUUCCCCCUUGGAAGCCCCUAGGAUCCCUGUUUCUACGGGCCUGGUCCUUGGUUUCUACCCCAGUCCCUUUUGGCCGGCACCUGCCUGGAACUGCCUGGAGCGCCAUGGUAUGGGGAAGGACAGGUGGAACCCUGACCACAACAGAUCCUUCUAAAACAACAGUCACAUUGAUGAUGAUGAGUGCAGUGGGGUGAAUGUCGUCACAGCAUGCAUGCUGGGAGCUGCCAAGGGCUUACAACAAAAGCAGUUCUUCCUAAGGCACCCUUUGCAUCUUCCCAUCCACGCCUCUCAGUGCAUUUGGAACUUGCUUAUGCAUUGGAAUAACUUGAGUCAGCUGCUCGUUUCUGUGCCUCUGCACUCACAGGUUCCUUCAUUAACAUUUUAAAUAAGUGGUUAAAAACUCCUCUGGAGGUUGUUUUUGAAAGAAACAGGGAAAAGAAAAACACACACUACCUGAAUUGAUUUGAGUAAUUUUCCAGUGACUCAGUUGAAACUCAGUGUUGCAUACAUAAUUUCCUCAUGCUGAGCCAGCCUGAAAUAAGACUUGAUAAGAGGCACAGCCCUAAGUAGCAGGCAGUGCCACUGUGGACAGUGUACACUAUGGUGUGAGUGUGUGCACAGGCGAGCCUAAGUGUGUGUACUCAUACACACAGAUAAACCGAAAGGACACUGGGCUUUGUGCUGGCAAAGGCUGUGAUGCUGCUGUGGCUUUCUAUGGGCCCUGGGGAGUGUCAGAUGGGAAGUGCUUUGAUGGCAUGUUGUUCAGUGUAUUUAAUGGGGUCUCCCAUGGCCCGAGGACCCACUGUGAGCACUCCACCCACUGUGGCGCAGAACACGGCUGGAGUCAUCAUAGCCCAGGUCUUUAUUGAAAGGGAGUGUUGACCCAGAAGCCUCAUAUAGAAACCAUUUGGCAAGGUCUGGACCAUCUCUCUGCAACUGACCUGCCUUGGCCGCACAGAGGGACCCAAACCCAAAAGGCCCAGACCCAAGGGAGACUGAAUCACAUUUACCAUUACACCAGCUUUCAUUUAUUUGUUUCCAUAUGAUCAUAGGGACUGUAUUACUAAGUAUGCUUAUAAAUGCUAUUUACAGACUGUUCCCUUUUAUAAGGUGAAAGAUUAAUAAAGAACAAAAAAUUGCCUGUAGAAAACCAUGCCUGAGGCCAGGAGCAGUGGCUCAUGCCUGUAAUCCCAGCACUUUGGGAGACCAAGACAAGCAGAUCACCCAAGGUCAGGAGUUCAAGACCAGCCUGGCCAACUUGGAGAAACCCCAGCUCUACAAAAAUAC